rnacentral:lncRNA from 1 species
UAUGCAUAUACAUCUAGAACAUAAAUGGAUACAACUAUCAGCAUCCAAUUUAUAUCCAUGUCUGCAUCAAUAUACACCAAACAAAUGUUGAUACAGAUAUGAACAUGUUCAUAUUCAUAAUUCAUGUCCAGUCAUUUUUCAGCCCUACUUCCAAAGGAGCAUCUAGCUUCCAACGCCUUGUUGUAUGUAUCCAUGAUCUAUAAAAUGGGGUAGCAAUUGUGCAUGAGUGGCUACCCAUGACAGCUUUAGUUAGUGACAAUCAUUAGUUGAAGACAUAUUAAAUAUAAAAAAGUUAUCUAAAAUUAUUUAUAAUCAUCAAUUUAUUAUUGCAAAUUAUGUUCAUUGGCUUAAAACAUGUCUUUAUGCU